GACGAACGCUGGCGGCGUGCCUAAUACAUGCAAGUCGAACGCACAGUUUAUACCGUAGCUUGCUACACCAUAAACUGUGAGUUGCGAACGGGUGAGUAACGCGUAGGUAACCUGCCUGGUAGCGGGGGAUAACUAUUGGAAACGAUAGCUAAUACCGCAUAAUAUUGAUUAUUGCAUGAUAAUUGAUUGAAAGAUGCUAUUGCAUCACUACCAGAUGGACCUGCGUUGUAUUAGCUAGUAGGUGAGGUAACGGCUCACCUAGGCGACGAUACAUAGCCGACCUGAGAGGGUGAUCGGCCACACUGGGACUGAGACACGGCCCAGACGCCUACGGGAGGCAGCAGUAGGGAAUCUUCGGCAAUGGACGAAAGUCUGACCGAGCAACGCCGCGUGAGUGAAGAAGGUUGUCGGAUCGUAAAGCUCUGUUGUAAGAGAAGAACGGGUGUGAGAGUGGAGAGUUCACACUGUGACGGUAUCUUACCAGAAAGGGACGGCUAACUACGUG
rnacentral:rRNA from 1 species